AAUAGAUACCCUGGUAGUCCACGCCGUAAACGAUGAGUGCUAAGUGUUAGAGGGUUUCCGCCCUUUAGUGCUGAAGUUAACGCAUUAAGCACUCCGCCUGGGGAGUACGGUCGCAAGACUGAAACUCAAAGGAAUUGACGGGGGCCCGCACAAGCGGUGGAGCAUGUGGUUUAAUUCGAAGCAACGCGAAGAACCUUACCAGGUCUUGACAUCCUCUGACAACCCUAGAGAUAGGGCUUUCCCUUCGGGGACAAGAGUGACAGGUGGUGCAUGGUUGUCGUCAGCUCGUGUCGUGAGAUGUUGGGUUAAGUCCCGCAACGAGCGCAACCCUUGAUCUUAGUUGCCAGCAUUUAGUUGGGCACUCUAAGGUGACUGCCGGUGACAAACCGGAGGAAGGUGGGGAUGACGUCAAAUCAUCAUGCCCCUUAUGACCUGGGCUACACACGUGCUACAAUGGACGGUACAAAGAGUCGCAAGCCGCGAGGUGGAGCUAAUCUCAUAAAACCGGUUCUCAGUUCGGAUUGUAGG
rnacentral:rRNA from 1 species